UACGAAGGGUGCAAGCGUGAAUCGGAAUUACUGGGCGUAAAGCGCGCGUAGGUGGUUCAGCAAGUUGGAUGUGAAAUCCCCGGGCUCAACCUGGGAACUGCAUCCAAAACUACUGAGCUAGAGUACGGUAGAGGGUGGUGGAAUUUCCUGUGUAGCGGUGAAAUGCGUAGAUAUAGGAAGGAACACCAGUGGCGAAGGCGACCACCUGGACUGAUACUGACACUGAGGUGCGCAAGCGGGGGGCGCACACAGGCGGCGAUCACCCCGUAGUCC
rnacentral:rRNA from 1 species